rnacentral:rRNA from 1 species
CAAUAGCGUAUAUUAAAGUUGUUGCAGUUAAAAAGCUCGUAGUUGGAUUUCGGGGCAGCCUGGCUGGUCCGCCGCAAGGCGAGUACUGGUCAGCCGCCCUUCCUCUCGAAAGCCCCGACUGCUCUUUAUUGCAGUGGUCGGGUAGUUCGGGACGUUUACUUUGAAAAAAUUAGAGUGUUCAAGGCAGGCCUACGCCUGAAUACAUUAGCAUGGAAUAAUGGAAGAGGACCUCGGUCCUAUUUUGUUGGUUUCCAGGACCGAAGUAAUGAUUAAGAGGGACAGUUGGGGGCAUUCGUAUUUAAUUGUCAGAGGUGAAAUUCUCGGAUUUAUGAAAGACGAACAACUGCGAAAGCGUUUGCCAAGGAUGUUUUCAUUAA